AGAGCUAGACGUGGACAGGCGUCGCCGCGUAGAUCCGGGGGAGGCUCCCAAAUUGGAACCAGUCUUUGGACUGCGCCGCUGCCCCCUCCCUCCUGCCCUGCAGUCGGAAGAGCAUCCCUUCUCUGUCCCCUCUUCCAGCCUAGGGUGGUGUAGAAUGCUGUCAGGCAGCUGCAAGUGGGGCUGGGGACAGGCCUUAGCUAGUGUUGGGAAGGAUGGCAUCUUUAGUUGUAGUUUGGAUCUCUCCCUGCGCAGCCCCACGUCAAGGAAGUCUUUGGAUGGGGUCAGCUACAGGAGUGGUGGAUAGCAAAGGCCCGCAGGCUGUACUUUACUUAAGACGACGCAAGUCUUCUCUCCGCCUUUAUUCUUGGCGUUCAUUCAGACUGGGCCAAAUGCACUAACUUCCCUGGCCUCUGAGAUGUCACUCACCAGCUUCUGCUGCACCCCACCUUUAACUAUGUGUGCACUGAGGAUCCCACGUGACCAAUGGCGAUUGCUAAGGUGCUGCCCACCUCUUUGAGAACCCAGAUCCCGAUCUUCGGAACAGCUGUUCUAAGGUUUAGAAGCACAGUCUUUCCUCUAAAGCAGUGGGUUGUCUAGGGAGCCAUUGGUCUGCUACCUCCUGCAGAAGGUUUAGAAGGCAAAUGGAUAUGUCAACGGUGCUGCCUUCCCGCACAGAGUCACAAGGUUUGUUAGUAUAAUGAGGUCUCUCUGAGAAAUCCUGCAGGCCUCACGGCCGCACGUGCUAAUUCAGUUUACUGGACUAUUAGGCCUAAGCUUUCCCACCUCAAGUCUGUGCCUAUGCCCUCUAAGUCAUUCUCAUAGGUUGACCCAUUGAAGAUUGGGAAGCUCCUCUUCAAUCCCCUGGGAAUUUCUCUAACUGGGGGUCCACCCGUCGACAAAGGAGCUAGAAACCCCUCUCCAGCUAGAGACCUGAGAACAGUUGAAUAGUCAUUUGAAUUGUUGGAAACAUGAAGCCAAGGAUAUCCAGAUGAUCUCCCAGUCCAUAGGACAGUGGCUUGUACGAGAUCCUGGCACUGACUCUGAGCAGUUGGUGGCCGAGUUCUGCCACCAAAAUGAGAACUAUUUGGACCUGGGGUGGACAGCCAGUGCCACCUCUAAGGUUUCCUUGUUGCUGAGGCCUCAAAGAUUCCCAGAACUGUCCGAAUGGCCCUGCCUGAUUGGCUGAACAGGUCUGCCUGGGACCAGCAGAAGGUUUGGCAGUCUUUGCUGCUGCGGGGCAGGUGGGGGAACAAGCAAUCUCCUUUGCAACCGUCUGGUGGAAGAGGCGAGGUAGAGAAGACUGAUUUCUUUCUUGCUGCAAGAGGACUCCCAAGCUCCAAGUUAUAAUUUAAGCCCAAGAUCUGGUCACUUGGGACUGAACUCUGCCCGUCUCCCAUUCCCUAAAUGAAGGGUCUCGGUUCUAGCGCCCAUUCUUUACCUGUUUGCCUCAGGAUCUCCUCAGUCCCAGUGCUCUGGGUCUGAGGCCAGCCGACCUUACUCAGGAGCACACAUCUUGGCCUCUCUGGCGCCUCAUCUACCCUACCGUGCCGUGCCUGUAGCGUUCUGGGGCUCACAGGUCUUCUCGAUGUGCCUUCAGCUCUGCUUCCUGCGGCUCGGCGGGCCCUCCGUUUGCCACAUGUGAGAAGCGCAGAUCAGUUUAGGAUGACACCCACCUUUCCCAGCUGGCGGAGUGUGAUCCCCCUGAUGUGGCCCAGAGCGUUUGGAAGCUGGCGGCACUCUGCCUGGCUUCCCUCAAUGACACCAGGACUGGGGCCGGGCCAAGCCCACCCAGACGGCUCCCAACCAUAAGUCUGGGGCCUCUUGUGGGCCCUGGAGACGAUUUCUACAGUGUGUUCAAAGUGGUGUAGGGAGGGUGGUUAGAGGGAGGGACCAUGUGCCUUAUCCAGUAGUGUAUUCAUGUUUACCCCAGUAUGCUUUUUUGGAAUAAAGUUUCUUUUGUCUGAUCUUG